UCUCUGCUCCUUGUUCCCUGCCGACUCUUCCUGGUUUGUUUCUCUUCCUGGUUCCCUGCGGAGACCUCCUUGUCUCAGCUGACGCUUUGUGGCUCCUAACUCUCUGCUCCUUGUUCCCUGCCGACUCUUCCUGGUUUGUUUCUCUUCCUGGUUCC